rfam:Apaloderma vittatum contig51064, whole genome shotgun sequence.
GCUUUGAUUAGCUCAGUCAGUUAGAGCGUGAUGCUGAUAACACCAAGGUCACGGGUUCGAUUCCCGUUCGGUCCC